GGUCAAGUUAUUAAGGGUGCAGGGCGGAUGCCUUGGCACUAGGAGCCGAUGAAGGACGUGAUAAGCUGCGAUAAGCUUCGGGGAGUUGCACGUAAACUUUGAUCCGAAGAUUUCCGAAUGAGGAAACUCACUUAGAGUAAUGUCUAAGUAUCAUUAAGUGAAUACAUAGCUUAAUGAGGGGAACUCAGGGAACUGAAACAUCUAAGUACCUGAAGGAAGAGAAAGAAAUUCGAUUCCGUAAGUAGCGGCGAGCGAACGCGGAUUAGCCCAAACCAAUAAAGUUUUCUUUAUUGGGGUUGCGGACAUAUCAUAACGAAGAGGUAUCGUAAUUGAAGAGGUUUGGAAAGACCCACCACAGAAGGUAAUAGUCCUGUAUGUUAAACGAGAAGACUUCAGAUAUGAUCCAGAGUACCACGGGACACGUGAAACCCUGUGGGAAGCAGGAGGGACCACCCUCCAAGGCUAAAUACUACCUAGUGACCGAUAGCGUAUAGUACCGUGAGGGAAAGGUGAAAAGAACCCCGGGAGGGGAGUGAAAUAGAACCUGAAACCCUGCACUUACAAGCUGUGGAAGCACAUUUCUUGUGUGACCGCGUACUUUUUGUAGAACGGGCCAACGAGUUACGUUAAGUAGCAAGGUUAAGCACUUAAGGUGUGGAGCCGUAGCGAAAGCGAGUUUUAACUGAGCGUUCAGUUACUUGACGUAGACCCGAAACCGGGCGACCUACCCAUGAGCAGGAUGAAGCGAAAGUAAAAUUUCGUGGAGGUCCGAACCCACGAGCGUUGAAAAGCUCGGGGAUGACUUGUGGGUAGCGGUGAAAUUCCAAUCGAGCCCGGAGAUAGCUGGUUCUCCCCGAAAUAGCUUUAGGGCUAGCCUCAAGGUGAGAGAUACGGAGGUAGAGCACUGAAUGUCCUAGGGGGUAUUGCACCUACCGAAGACUAUCAAACUCCGAAUGCCGUCAUCUUAUACUUGGGAGUCAGACUGUGGGUGAUAAGAUUCAUAGUCGAAAGGGCAACAGCCCAGAUCGUCAGCUAAGGUCCCUAAAUGUAAGUUAAGUGGUAAAGGAUGUGGGAUUGCACAGACAACCAGGAUGUUGGCUUAGAAGCAGCCACUCAUUCAAAGAGUGCGUAAUAGCUCACUGGUCGAGUGAUCCUGCGCCGAAGAUUUCCGGGGCUAAAACUUACUACCGAAGCUACGGCAUCAGUAAUGAUGGGUAGGGGAGCUUCCCAUACGGGUUGAAGCAUGACCGUAAGGACAUGUGGACAGUAUGGGAGUGAGAAUGUUGGCAUGAGUAGCGAGAUGUGGGUGAGAAUCCCACAGGCCGUAAACCCAAGGUUUCCAGGGGAAGGUUCGUCCGCCCUGGGUUAGUCGGGACCUAAGCUGAGGCCGAAAGGCGUAGGUGAUGGACAACAGGUUGAUAUUCCUGUAC
rnacentral:rRNA from 1 species